rnacentral:tRNA from 1 species
GUUUCUAUGGUGUAAAAGCACACUAGAUUUUCAGCCUAGAAGAAUAAAUUUAUUUAUUAGAAAUA